UGUUUACGAGGGAUUCCUCGAAAAGUUGGCGGUCUGCUGGAUCUGGAGGAAGCUCUCUGCUGACCACCAAAGAAACUUCAGCCAAUAUAGUUUUAUUGGACUAUAUAUCUACUGAGAAGUGGAAUGAAGUCGUGGACUUUGAUGAUCAUCUUGAUGACAUUAGCAAGGACUGGCUGAAUCCCAAUCUCUUCAAGUAGGCUUAUGGUUAUGUCUGGAACCCUCUGGUGAUCUUCUUUUAUCGAAUUGCUUCUAUGUUGGACGGUUGUAUUCUGAAUAGUAAAGUGAUUAUAAGUUGCAGCUAAUAAGAUUUUAUUUUGAUUUAUUUUCC